CCUGCUCCUAUACAUACUGGACCAACUACUAGAGCUCGCGCACGCCAAUUGAAUUACCAGGUACUUCCGUUUCUUGGAAAUCCAUCUAAUGUUCAUGAACAUAUGAUGCUACCUAAAUUUGAUACUUUUAUUUUACUUAUAAAUGGAGGGACUAGCAUGGACAAGAAGGAUGGCCAUUGGAGCGGGGUCAAGCAUGGAGAAGAAGGUGUGCAGGCGACAAAAACAAACAGAGUUUCUAGUGGUGAUUUUCGCACUUUGAAGCCAUCAUAAGGAUAGCAUGAAGGCUUGGCUGAAAUAUACAAGAUGCCACUUCAUAAAUUUCUUUCAUAGGGUAUUAUAGGAUCCGCAUCACCUUAUUUUUGGGCUAGGACCAUGUAAUUUUAAAAUACUACAUUAUAGGUUGUUUUUAGAGUCUUUAUGAGUGGGGAAACCGAGUUAGAGUUGUUUUUGGACCCAUCCUCCAAGGGGUAACAAAAAUCCUUCUCUAUUCACCAAUAUAUACAACACUUAGGCACCGUUUAGACUUGGGUUUUGUUUAGAUUACUAGUUCACCAUAGUUGUAACUUUGCGUUCUUUGUUUGUGUUCUACGACCACCAAGAUGUCAUAGAACCCCACUUUCAUCAAUAAAGAUAUUCUCUUAUAUUCGC
rnacentral:lncRNA from 1 species